AGUGAACGCUGGCGGUAUGCCUAACACAUGCAAGUCGAACGGCAGCACAGUAAGAUCUUGCUCUUACGGGUGGCGAGUGGCGGACGGGUGAGGAAUACAUCGGAAUCUACUUUUUCGUGGGGGAUAACGUAGGGAAACUUACGCUAAUACCGCAUACGACCUACGGGUGAAAGCAGUGGAUCUUCGGACCUUUCGCGAUUGAAUGAGCCGAUGUCGGAUUAGCUAGUUGGUGGGGUAAAGGCCCACCAAGGCGACGAUCCGUAGCUGAUCUGAGAGGAUGAUCAGCCACACUGGAACUGAGACACGGUCCAGACUCCUACGGGAGGCAGCAGUGGGGAAUAUUGGACAAUGGGCGCAAGCCUGACCCAGCAAUACCGCGUGAGUGAAGAAGGCCUUCGGGUUGUAAAGCCCUUUUGUUGGGAAAGAAAAGCAGCAGGUUAAUACCCCGAUGUUCUGACGGUACCCAAAGAAUAAGCCCCGGCUAACUUCGUG
rnacentral:rRNA from 1 species